rnacentral:rRNA from 1 species
UACGUAGGGUGCAAGCGUUGUCCGGAAUUAUUGGGCGUAAAGAGCUCGUAGGCGGUUUGUCGCGUCUGCUGUGAAAACUCGGGGCUUAACCCCGGGCCUGCAGUGGGUACGGGCAGACUAGAGUGCGGUAGGGGAGACUGGAAUUCCUGGUGCAGCGGUGAAAUGCGCAGAUAUCAGGAGGAACACCGGUGGCGAAGGCGGGUCUCUGGGCCGUAACUGACGCUGAGGAGCGAAAGCGUGGGGAGCGAACAGG